rnacentral:rRNA from 1 species
UACGUAGGGUGCAAGCGUUGUCCGGAAUUAUUGGGCGUAAAGAGCUCGUAGGCGGUUUGUCGCGUCGAAUGUGAAAACCCGGGGCUCAACUCCGGGCUUGCGGGCGAUACGGGCAGGCUAGAGUUCGGUAGGGGAGACUGGAAUUCCUGGUGUAGCGGUGAAAUGCGCAGAUAUCAGGAGGAACACCGGUGGCGAAGGCGGGUCUCUGGGCCGAUACUGACGCUGAGGAGCGAAAGCGUGGGGAGCGAACAGG